UCCGGGUAGGGCAUCGAAACCUCGAAACCAACGCUCCUUCAUCAUGUUCAAGACCUUCGUCUUCGUUGCCCUCGUGGCCCUCAUCGCCGUCGCCAAUGCUCAGGUCCUCUACGGAGCGUGGGGCGGAGCUCCCACCUGGGGUGGAGUUGCUUCCGUUCCCGUAGCCACCGCUGGAUGGAACGGUGUUGGUGGACUCUACGGUGCCAACUACGCCUGGUCGGGAGUCCCCUACGGUUCGGUUGUCUACAAGAAGUGAACCCCUCCACCGUUGGGCAAACGAUAGCGCCCGUUAUUGAUCCUUGCUACUGACCAUCGUCCGGGAAUCACGCAUUAAAAACUGAUGUGAAUAAAACUGUGCAUUAACUCACU